ACCUCUGGGUCACCUCCCACCCGUGUUUAUUUUACCUUGUUGCUUCGGCGGGCCCGCCUUAACUGGCCGCCGGGGGGCUUACGCCCCCGGGCCCGCGCCCGCCGAAGACACCCUCGAACUCUGUCUGAAGAUUGUAGUCUGAGUGAAAAUAUAAAUUAUUUAAAACUUUCAACAACGGAUCUCUUGGUUCCGGCAUCGAUGAAGAACGCAGCGAAAUGCGAUACGUAAUGUGAAUUGCAAAUUCAGUGAAUCAUCGAGUCUUUGAACGCACAUUGCGCCCCCUGGUAUUCCGGGGGGCAUGCCUGUCCGAGCGUCAUUGCUGCCCUCAAGCACGGCUUGUGUGUUGGGCCCCGUCCUCCGAUCCCGGGGGACGGGCCCGAAAGGCAGCGGCGGCACCGCGUCCGGUCCUCGAGCGUAUGGGGCUUUGUCACCCGCUCUGUAGGCCCGGCCGGCGCUUGCCGAUCAACCCAAAUUUUUAUCCAGGUUGACCUCGGAUCAGGUAGGGAUACCCGCUGAACUUAAGCAUAUCAA
rnacentral:rRNA from 1 species